AUUUUCAUGCAUGGUGAAAUGUGUUGUUGCAUUUAAUUUCGUUUUAAUUGAAUUUAAUUACGUUUUUACAUCUGCGUUUUAAUUUAAUUUCAUUUUAAUUUUUCCGCAUUCACCACGCAAACCUUUUCACAAACCCCCCCCCCCACUUCGUGUUAGACUCGAUUUUCAACCGCAAACUUGGUCCUUGAGAGACGACCUAGGAGUCACUUCCUAGCUAUACUGCAUUUCUUUUAUGCAAUCAAAUUUGUGUGGGUUGCGACAACCCAUCA
rnacentral:lncRNA from 1 species